UACGGAGGGUGCGAGCGUUAAUCGGAAUCACUGGGCGUAAAGCGCGCGUAGGCGGCUUUUCAAGUCAGGGGUGAAAUCCCACGGCCCAACCGUGGAACUGCCUUUGAAACUGUAGAGCUUGAGUGUCGGAGAGGGUGGCGGAAUUCCAGGUGUAGGAGUGAAAUCCGUAGAUAUCUGGAGGAACACCGGUGGCGAAGGCGGCCACCUGGACGACAACUGACGCUGAGGUGCGAAAGCGUGGGUAUCGAACAGG
rnacentral:rRNA from 1 species